rnacentral:ncRNA from 1 species
AGGUCCCUGUGAACUAAAUCGCAGCUUUCCCGAGUAAUCGGGAUUGAAAAAUCGGGCUAAUUCGAGGAAAUCCUGAGCAAAAUCGAAGGACAAUCUCGAGCUAAAUUAGGUACCAUAUAGUACCUGAAAACGUGUAGAGACUAUACACCCGAGUCCGACGUAACGUCGGACAAGAAAUAGUCCACCCCUUAAAGUAAUUUAAGG